rnacentral:tRNA from 1 species
UCCCUGGUGGUCCAAUGGUUAAGACUCUGAGCUUCCAAGACAAGUGGUGCAGGUUCCAACCCUGGUCAGGGAA